GCUCCGCACCCAAUCCCCCGUCCUCUCGUCUCACUCCCGCACCAGCCGCCACGCAAUCCUAGGUCUCCUUGCGCUUCGUUCCCCGCUCGCUCGUCCCUCGGUUCUCCUCAUCCCUCCUCUACUCCGGCUGCUACGCCGCCUCUCCCUCCACAACGCGACCAGCUCGAGCUCCACCUCAUCCAUCGCCAUCUCAAGGAGACGGCUGCACAAGACGUCCGGCGCCGUCACCAUCUCUUCGGCACAAGUGAAGCACGGGAUGCUUGCUGCGUCGCCGUCGUCCUUUCUCUCGCUGCCACCACCACCCCGACCGAGCCAUCCCCGUGCUCUCGUUGAGCCUUCCCCCCCUCCGGGCUCACUGACCCAGGUGGCGGUGAAGGAGAGGGUGAGCUCGAGUGGUAGGCAAGGGAGGAGGGCGUGAGCCCUCGUUGAUGCGGUCUCCGUCAGAGGCGACGGGGGAUGGAUCCGCAGGCUGGGCAGCUGGAGGUGGAGGCCACGGCGGGGCGACCACUGGUCCACGGACCGGGCGGAGGACGGGGAGGGGAGGGCGAGUCGUCCCCUCCCCCCACCACCACGCGCAGGUUUGCAUUGGGGAUUGAUUCCUACCAGUGAAAUCUGCAAGGGAGCCGACCUACAGUUUCAUGUAUAGCUCGAGCUCAAGGCGGAGACAAGGAAGGUCGGAAAAUGAAGAGAUGGGAUGAAGGUGCUCGCACUGAAUAUAUAUAGUAGCUGGUGCACGAGCUUGCACUCAACCAGUCUAGACUCAACUCCUCAUAUCGGGUGCGGACUGAGAGUUGGAUGCUCUGUGCCAGCAUAUGGAUGUGUUGCGACCACUGUUGCUUCGGCUGUGAGCGGUCCAGGAUUGCAACCUGGUGUCAUCCACUCCCUACUCACAGGUUACCGUAGUGUUAUGUAAAACAUACCCAAGCUCUUGUUCCUUAAAAUUAUCCAUCUAUUAACUGGAUUAUGAAUAAUUGCUCUUGCAAGUGAAUUUUCAUUACGUGAGUUGAGGAGGAUGCGCGGUCUUCAGACUCGGAGAUUUCUAGUUUUUUCAUUUAAUCAUUUCUGCAGAGAUUGUCCUUCUAUGCAUUAUUUGGUAACCAUCUACUACAGAUCAGCUACUACCCUGCUGCUGCCCUUAUGGUGAAUGAUUGAUGGUGCAUGUUUUCCUGUUAGUUUUUCUGUAUGCCAAGUCUGAAUUUUAUCAUUUUGCAUUUUUCCAGCCCUUUCAUUCUCACUGUGAUUCCCUGAGAUGCAUUGUCCAUAGGCAAUGCACUUUCUAAUAAAAUAUGGCGGUAACCUUGAAAAGACUAAUUUAUCUAGCUACAAAAACAUGUUGUUUAUGUUCCUUGCUUUUGCAAAUACUCCCUCCGUCCGGAAAUACUUGUCCUAGGAAUGGUUGUAUCUAGACUUAUUUUAGUUAUAGAUACAUCCAUUUUAUCCAUUUUUAGGACAAGUAUUUCCGGAAGGAGGGAGUAGUAGUUUAUGGUUGACACUUUAGUCUAUAUCUGUCAUGCACCCAUCUGGACUAUAAAUAGGACCCUCCACCACCACUUGCUAGCAAGUACUACAUCAUACAGCAACAGACACCAUGGAUCUACUUCUGCUACUCAUCUCGCUUCUUAUGGUCACUACAGGAUAGUGAAUCUGGCUUGCGAGUUUUGUCGAUGCGGCCAUGACGGCGAUGCCAAACUCUGAGGAGAUACCAAAGGUGUACUGGGAUAAUCUUGUUGUGCUUUGUUUCUGUAUGAUCUAAAACUACAAGGAUCUUGUUCAGUUCAGAUGUUCUGGAAUGACUGCUUACUUAUAUGGAUAACUUGAACUGAAAGCAAGAGUAGAAUCCCAUGAGAUGAGCCACAAGGAAAAUAUGCAUGAAAAUGGCACAAUCAUGAUUCAGUUUGGUCAGCAAGUACCUAAUUACAAGUCAUCAGCUAGCGAUUCUCCCCAAGAAGUGUUCGGAAUGAGCAAAGGAAGCUUUAAUGAAAAGAAUAUUGAUGUUGAUGUUGUACAAUAGCCGGAAGAUCACAAGAGAUCGACCUUUUGGGUGGUCUAAUACUUCCUAUAUGGGCACAUCGAAAAGCCACUACGUAAGUAGUUCAGUCUUCUCUUUAAAAACUGCUUUCUCUUACUACACAACCAGGCUCAAUUCAUACGUAUGUAAAUUUUACAUCAUACUUCUUCCCUUCCCAAAACAAGGGUAUUAUUUAUCUCCUUCCUGAAUCAAUAUUUCAGACCUUUUUUGAAUUGAGAAUCUCACCUGCAGCACAUCAAUUGUCUGUAAAUAAAUGUAACGUGAAUCACUCUCCAAAAUCCUUGAAACUUGAGCUUCGACGAAUAUGAAGGUCUUUGUGUUGGCAUACACUCCUUUAUUCCAAAUGGUGCUGAUAUAAAAACACCAUCAAGGAUUCCAUGUGUACCAUGUAUGUCCAUAAAAACAGCAUCGAUAUAUCAGCAUACUAAUGUGCCGAUCUAAAAACGUUUUUUCUAAGUGACGGUUUCGAGUCGGCAAAAAUACAGUGUAUGUCCAUAAUGUGAUGGCAACUGAGUAGCCAUGUGUACAGGGAAGGCAUCAGUCUAUAUCGAAAAACACCAGCGAUUUUAUCCUAAUUGUUAUUGAAAUUGUUGUUUAUUGCUUCAUAUUACCAAUUGCACCUGCUUACAGAUAUCCUUAAGUUUACUACCUCCUGUCCUUAGAAGCAUCAGUUUGUCCUUAUUUUUUGUAUGCUCUGUUUCAUCUAAAUUGCGUGCAUCCAUUUCCAACAGAACUAGGGGAGUUCGUAUAAAUUAGAUAUGUUCAUUUUCUUCUCAACAGGUAUCUAUUAUGAGUACUGCAAUUUAGACAUGAUUAAGAAUGGUACUAGAGUUUGCCUAUCUAUCAUGAUUUUUUAGUUCUGCUUAGUUGAUGGCCUCACGUAAUGUGCCUCCAUGGAUGGAGCUUUCCGGGUCUGCCUUGUUGAAUGUUCUACCAUGGAUGGAGCUUUUGCUGAUACCCUUUCUGAAUAGCUGAUAUUUAUUGUACCUCAUCUUCGCUCCUGGUUGGCGGGGAACCUCUCAUGGUCGAGCCCCUAGCCCCGCACCUUGGCAGCUGCCUGGAGAGGAGGAUAGCUCGAGGACAACUCCCAAUGUGCCGAGGAGAUGGGAACAUGAUAAGCCGAUGCCUAAUAAGGAUCAGGAGAACAACAGAUAUGCUAAGAGACAACCUUUUGGGGUUAAGGAUAUAAACAACAACAGGGCUUAUGAGGCCGAAGAGAGCUCGAGUGGCGUCUUUUGGUUCUUGAAGACCUGCACGUUCCUGGUGGAGUAGAGCAAAAUAAUUUGGAGGCUUUAAAGCUACUGCACUUCAUGUAGUUAGGAUCAAUUCUCUGUUUCAGUUUGAAAUAUUCCCCAUUUCCUCCUAUUUGAUUGAUUCAUCUGAUGGACAUUUUGUCAGGCAAAUAAACAAAAGGCAUAUGUAUUGUUACGAGUGAAGCCAUCCAUACUCCCAUGUGGAAUUCAAGAAAUAGAGAAAUGUUAUUGUUCUUCUACUAAUUGUUUGCUUGGACAAAUGUACUGUAAAUGAUUUAUUAUUGUUAGGUAUAGAGAAAUGUUAUUGUUCUUCA